AUUGAACGCUGGCGGCAGGCCUAACACAUGCAAGUCGAACGGCAGCACAGAAGAGCUUACUCUUUGGGUGGCGAGUGGCGGACGGGUGAGUAAUGUCUGGGAAACUGCCCGAUGGAGGGGGAUAACUACUGGAAACGGUAGCUAAUACCGCAUAACGUCGCGAGACCAAAGUGGGGGACCUUCGGGCCUCACACCAUCGGAUGUGCCCAGAUGGGAUUAGCUAGUAGGUGGGGUAAUGGCUCACCUAGGCGACGAUCCCUAGCUGGUCUGAGAGGAUGACCAGCCACACUGGAACUGAGACACGGUCCAGACUCCUACGGGAGGCAGCAGUGGGGAAUAUUGCACAAUGGGCGCAAGCCUGAUGCAGCCAUGCCGCGUGUAUGAAGAAGGCCCUCGGGUUGUAAAGUACUUUCAGCGGGGAGGAAGGCGGUGAGGUUAAUAACCUCGCCGAUUGACGUUACCCGCAGAAGAAGCACCGGCUAACUCCGUGCCAGCCGCCGCAGUAA
rnacentral:rRNA from 1 species